rnacentral:lncRNA from 1 species
CUUUCAGGAUGCUCUGGAUACGAGCGCCACAGCAUGAGAGUCCAACCCCUUUGGGCUAACAACGACGGCUUGCUGCUCCUCCACGCCGCACUCUGGAGAGCUAGGAAAGCCACGCCGAGAUGCCCACAUUUCCGAUAUGGUGACGCGUUUAAACUGCGGGGGGUGAAUCCAGGGGUUCGACCUCAUUCUUUCCUGGUGUAAGCCCCCCACAGGAAUGGGCAUUCGUUUGAAAGCUCGGUAAGUAAAGACCUGAGGAUUUGGGCACGCUUACUGCGCAAUGCUACACGUAGCUGAUGUCUAGGCUCUCCUUGUAGGGACGAUAGAGUAGGAAGGACUGGGGAAGCUCCGUUUUGAGGAUGCCAUAAAAACUCCAGCUCAGAGCAGCACUUUCAUCUUCUUCCUCAUUCUCCAAGCCAAGGUCUCUAAAGCUCUAGGCUUUGUGCUAAUGGCAUGCUGGGAUCGAGCUUGCUUAUCUAGGAAAGCUUCACCACAUCAUUAUUUCAUGACUGCACGUCUGCCAGAGGAGCUGCUGGGCCUCGGAGCCACUUGACUAAUGGAGCCGGUUCAGGUCUCCGUGCAAAUCCAGCUCUAUAUAAGUGACGGUGGAAGGAUGCAGCUUGGUUGUGCCGGAGCAAUUCACCCUUCUCACAAUCCACUGCAUGCAAGAGUCAGCAACAGAUUAAGAGAAAGGAAUAGAAGAGCAAAACCUGCUGGUUGACAUCCUGGGCUGAGAUGGCAAAAAUUGGCAUCCGCUCCCUGCCCUGGCACAGACCUCCACUGCUGUGAGCAAGGCGCUUACUUGCUCCAUCCUUCCACGUCUCUUCUGCAAGGUGGAGAUAACACCAUUCCCUUUUCUUUCCCCCUUUGUCUGGUUUGGACUGUAAUCUCUUCGGAGCGAGGACAGUCUCUUGCUCUGUGUUUGCACACCACUUAGCCCAAAGGGGCCGUGAUCUCAGUUGAGAUCACCACUAUUAUACAAGUAACAAAAACAGGAGAGCCAGGGGGACCCUACCUAUCACCGGCUACUUUCUGGGAGGUACAUUUUCCACACUAAUUUCGUGCCUUUGUAAAGCUAUUCAUUUUUGCAGAGAAACACAUUCACAGUUAUUAAGUCAUAAACAUCCCGAUCUUUCUCCCAUGGUUUUAGCAGGAGGGGAAUGGGGGAGAUUGAGAGGGAGAGAUCACUCGUGUUUUAGGAAGC